ensembl:lncRNA
GAUGCAUAGAUGGGAAGACGGAUGGGUGAAUGGGUUUAUGCAGGAGUGGGUAGGUGAGCGGACAGGAUGGAUAGAUGUAAGAUGGGUGGAUGGAUGAGUGGUGGAUGGAGGUGUAGUUGGGAAGAUGGACAAGUGAAUGGGUUCAUGGAUGGAUGGGUGGGUGGAUGGAUGGGCAGAUGGAUGAAUGAGUGGGCAGGUGGGUGAGUGGAUGGAUGGGCAGAUGGUAGCUGGGUGGAGAGAUCCACAGAUGAGGGCAUGGAUGGGAAGAUGGAGAGAGGAGGAUGGAGGAUGGGUGAGGGGGUGGACAGAGGCAGCAGUGGUAACUGGUUGGGGGUUGGGAAUCUUGCCUUUGCCCUGAUUCUCACCCUAAUGGGAAUCACUGGGGCUUGUAGUAAUCAUCUGACCUUUUUGGACUUCAGCUUCCUUAUCUGCCUGAAGGGGCAAUGGUCCCUGCUCCCUACUCCCUGCCCCACCACCACUACCCAGGGAUGAGAAAAGAUCCCUGGGCUGUGAGUACCCCAUGGCACCAUGGCCUCUCCAGCCCUACUGACCAGUCUCACCCUGUUCUGUGCCUGUCCUGUGAUGAGCUUCCUCUUUCCUGUGCCCACAGGGGAACUUCUGUGCAGUUUCCAUCGACAUUUCCUAAUGAGCUCAAGGAAAUUCUGGUUUACAGGAAAGGCGGGCCUCGGAGGUACCAGUGUGCUUUGCCAUCUGCUUCCCCAUCUCAGGGCUUCCCUGGUGGCUCAGAUGGUAAAGCGUCUGCCUGCAAUGUGGGAGACCCGGGUUCAAUCCCUGGGUCGGGAAGAUCCCCUGGAGAAGGGAAUGGCAACCCAGUCCAGUACUCUUGCCUGGAAAAUCCCAUGGACAGAGGAGCCUGGUGGGCUACAGUCCAUGGGGUCGCAAAGAGUCAGAUGCGACUGAUCGACUUCACUUCCCCAUCACUGGCUGGUUCACCUCCAGCGAGGUGGGUGGGGUGGGACCAGGACCCUUCACCACUAGAGAUGAAAUGCUGGGGUCCAAAGAAGUUCUGAACAGGCCUCAGUGAAGAGCUAAGAAUGCAGCCCCCUUCCAAGAUCUGUGCCUUAAGGCUUUCAGCUGAAGCCUGGAGCUAAAUAAAGGUUGGGCUCUGGGGCCA